AUACGGAGGGGGCUAGCGUUGUUCGGAAUUACUGGGCGUAAAGCGCGCGUAGGCGGUCCGCGUAGUCAGGCGUGAAAGCCCCGGGCUCAACCUGGGAACUGCGUUUGAUACUGGCGGGCUAGAGUCCGGGAGAGGGUAGUGGAAUUCCCAGUGUAGAGGUGAAAUUCGUAGAUAUUGGGAAGAACACCAGUGGCGAAGGCGGCUACCUGGACCGGUACUGACGCUGAGGUGCGAAAGCGUGGGGAGCAAACAGGAUUAGAAACCCCAGUAGUCC
rnacentral:rRNA from 1 species